rnacentral:lncRNA from 1 species
GUGUCCAAACCUACAUUAUCAACAGCGCAAGGGUGGUGUUUUUGAACGAGAGGCCUCAACCAAGGCCAGGAAAAGGGGUCACAAACACUUGUGAAGUCUGCGAACGUAGCCUUCUUGAUUCUUUCCGCUUCUGUUCUCUUGGUUGCAAGGUACUACUAUUAAUUUUUUUUACCACCAAUGUCUUUCCUUCAUUGUUUCAGCUCCUGACUAUACCAACUUUGAAAAAUUAACUAAAAAAAACUUGGAAAAUUGUGACUUUGCUUUGCUUUCUUUUGAAGCGAGCAGAGAAACACUUUUUAGUUGACUUUUUCUCACAGCCAUGAAAAUGGGUACCCUUUGAUUCACGGGACUCUUGGAUCCUCCAAUUUAUUCUCUUUUGCCUUAAUUUCCUCAGAGGCAUUAAACAAUCACCCCCUGUUGGAAAAUCUUGGGAUUGGAAUGUUGACUUUUAACCUUUUAUUAGUCUAACUCUAAUGUCAUCAACAACCUUAUGUGUAUUCAAUUGUGAAUGUCUUUUGUUUCAUUAACCGAUGUGAACAUGAAUUUGCAGAUUGUUGGAACAUCUAAGAACUUCCAGAAGAGGAAGAAACAGUCAAUGUUAAUGUCAUCAGAUUCUGAGGACUCAUACAGCAGCAACAGCGUCCAUGGCCUUAAGAAAAACUUCAAAGUUCAGAGCUUCACACCAUCCACCCCACCCCCAACAUCGGUUAAUUACAGAACGGCCAAGAGAAGAAAGGGAAUACCACACCGUGCCCCAAUGGUUGGACUAAUCAUAGAAUAUUAGAU